GCUUUCGUGGUGUAGUGGUCAGCACGCUCGAUGAUACUCGAGAGGUGAGUGGUUCGAGUCCCGGUGAGGGCA
rnacentral:tRNA from 1 species